rnacentral:rRNA from 1 species
CAGCCGCCGCGGUAAUACGUAGGUGGCAGGCGUUGUCCGGAAUUAUUGGGCGUAAAGCGCGCGCAGGUGGUUUAAUAAGUCUGAUGUGAAAGCCCACGGCUCAACCGUGGAGGGUCAUUGGAAACUGUUAAACUUGAGUGCAGGAGAGAAAAGUGGAAUUCCCAGUGUAGCGGUGAAAUGCGUAGAGAUUAGGAGGAACACCAGUGGCGAAGGCGGCUUUUUGGCCUGUAACUGACACUGAGGCGCGAAAGCGUGGGGAGCAAACAGGAUUAGAUACCCGAGUAGUCCCUGUCUCUUAUAC